rnacentral:rRNA from 1 species
ACAGAGGUUGCAAGCGUUAAUCGGAUUUACUGGGCGUAAAGCGUGUGCAGGUGGCUGUACAAGUCGGUUGUGAAAUCCCUGGGCUCAACCCGGGAACUGCUUCCGAGACUGUACGGCUGGAGAUCGGUAGAGGGCGGUGGAAUUUCCGGUGUAGCGGUGAAAUGCGUAGAUAUCGGAAGGAACACCAAUGGCGAAGGCAGCCGCCUGGGCCUGAUCUGACACUGAGACACGAAAGCGUGGGGAUCAAACAGGA